GAACAUCCGCUUAUUGAUAUGCUCCUCCGCUUAUUGAUAUGCUCCUCCGCUUAUUGAUAUGCUCCUCCGCUUAUAGAUAUGUUCCUCCGCUUAUWGWGAGGAYCCUCUCCUYCUCUAACUGUGAGGAGCUACGUUACCGUGGGCUCCCAACACUAAGCAACUAAGGCUUAAGGGUUGAAAUGACGCUCGAACGGUCCUGCCCACUAGAAUACUAAUGGGCGCAAUAUGCGUUCAAAGAUUCGAUGAUUCACUGAAUUCUGCAAUUCACAUUACUUAUCGCAUUUCGCUGCGUUCUUCAUCGAUGCCAGAACCAAGAGAUCCGUUGUUGAAAGUUUUAACUUAUUUAGUUAUAGGUUCAGAAUUCAAUAUCAAACAGAGUUUGGUGGGCCGCCGGCAGGCUUACCCGCACCUCCCGGGUAAGUCUUACAGGGUAAGACUACGAGGUAGGCGCGACCUGCCGAGGCAACGUUAGGUAUGUUCACAUGGGUUUGGGAGUUAUAGAACUCUUUAAUGAUCCCUCCGCAGGUUCACCUACGGAGGGA
rnacentral:rRNA from 1 species